AGUGGGAUAGCUGGGUCAAAUGGUGGUUCCUUUCCAAAUUUUUAAAGGAAUCUCCAUACUUAUUUCCAGAUUGGUUGUACCCAUUUGCAGUGCCACCAGCAAU
rnacentral:pre_miRNA from 1 species